rnacentral:rRNA from 1 species
GACAGAGGGUGCAAACGUUGUUCGGAAUUACUGGGCGUAAAGGGCGCGUAGGCGGCCUUCUAAGUCGAACGUGAAAUCCCCGGGCUCAACCUGGGAACUGCAUUUGUGACUGCAUGGCUAGAGUACGGUAGAGGGGAUGGAAUUCCGCGUGUAGCAGUGAAAUGCGUAGAUAUGCGGAGGAACACCGAUGGCGAAGGCAAUCCCUGGACCUGUACUGACGCUCAUGCACGAAAGCGUGGG